GGAGGAAAGCAGGGGAUCGCAAGACCUUGCGCUUUUGGAGCGGCCGAUGCCUGAUUAGCUUGUUGGUGAGGUAAAAGCUCACCAAGGCUUCGAUCAGUAGCUGGUCUGAGAGGACGACCAGCCACACUGGGACUGAGACACGGCCCAGACUCCUACGGGAGGCAGCAGUGGGGAAUUUUGGACAAUGGGGGCAACCCUGAUCCAGCCAUGCCGCGUGAGUGAAGAAGGCCUUCGGGUUGUAAAGCUCUUUCAGCCGGAACGAAACGGUCACGGCUAAUACCUGUGACUACUGACGGUACCGGAAGAAGAAGCACCGGCUAACUACGUGCCAGCAGCCGCGGUAAUACGUAGGGUGCGAGCGUUAAUCGGAAUUACUGGGCGUAAAGCGUGCGCAGGCGGUUUUGUAAGUCAGAUGUGAAAUCCCCGGGCUUAACCUGGGAACUGCGUUUGAAACUACAAGGCUA
rnacentral:rRNA from 1 species